GGUUAAGCGACUAAGCGUACACGGUGGAUGCCCUGGCAGUCAGAGGCGAUGAAGGACGUGCUAAUCUGCGAUAAGCGUCGGUGAGGUGAUAUGAACCGUUAUAACCGGCGAUUUCCGAAUGGGGAAACCCAGUGUGUUUCGACACACUAUCAUUAACUGAAUCCAUAGGUUAAUGAGGCGAACCGGGGGAACUGAAACAUCUAAGUACCCCGAGGAAAAGAAAUCAACCGAGAUUCCCCCAGUAGCGGCGAGCGAACGGGGAGCAGCCCAGAGCCUGAAUCAGUGUGUGUGUUAGUGGAAGCGUCUGGAAAGGCGUGCGAUACAGGGUGACAGCCCCGUACACAAAAAUGCACAUACUGUGAGCUCGAUGAGUAGGGCGGGACACGUGGUAUCCUGUCUGAAUAUGGGGGGACCAUCCUCCAAGGCUAAAUACUCCUGACUGACCGAUAGUGAACCAGUACCGUGAGGGAAAGGCGAAAAGAACCCCGGCGAGGGGAGUGAAAAAGAACCUGAAACCGUGUACGUACAAGCAGUGGGAGCCUCUUAAUGGGGUGACUGCGUACCUUUUGUAUAAUGGGUCAGCGACUUAUAUUCUGUAGCAAGGUUAACCGAAUAGGGGAGCCGAAGGGAAACCGAGUCUUAACUGGGCGUUAAGUUGCAGGGUAUAGACCCGAAACCCGGUGAUCUAGCCAUGGGCAGGUUGAAGGUUGGGUAACACUAACUGGAGGACCGAACCGACUAAUGUUGAAAAAUUAGCGGAUGACUUGUGGCUGGGGGUGAAAGGCCAAUCAAACCGGGAGAUAGCUGGUUCUCCCCGAAAGCUAUUUAGGUAGCGCCUCGUGAAUUCAUCUCCGGGGGUAGAGCACUGUUUCGGCAAGGGGGUCAUCCCGACUUACCAACCCGAUGCAAACUGCGAAUACCGGAGAAUGUUAUCACGGGAGACACACGGCGGGUGCUAACGUCCGUCGUGAAGAGGGAAACAACCCAGACCGCCAGCUAAGGUCCCAAAGUCAUGGUUAAGUGGGAAACGAUGUGGGAAGGCCCAGACAGCCAGGAUGUUGGCUUAGAAGCAGCCAUCAUUUAAAGAAAGCGUAAUAGCUCACUGGUCGAGUCGGCCUGCGCGGAAGAUGUAACGGGGCUAAACCAUGCACCGAAGCUGCGGCAGCGACACUAUGUGUUGUUGGGUAGGGGAGCGUUCUGUAAGCCUGUGAAGGUGUACUGUGAGGUAUGCUGGAGGUAUCAGAAGUGCGAAUGCUGACAUAAGUAACGAUAAAGCGGGUGAAAAGCCCGCUCGCCGGAAGACCAAGGGUUCCUGUCCAACGUUAAUCGGGGCAGGGUGAGUCGACCCCUAAGGCGAGGCCGAAAGGCGUAGUCGAUGGGAAACAGGUUAAUAUUCCUGUACUUGGUGUUACUGCGAAGGGGGGACGGAGAAGGCUAUGUUGGCCGGGCGACGGUUGUCCCGGUUUAAGCGUGUAGGCUGGUUUUCCAGGCAAAUCCGGAAAAUCAAGGCUGAGGCGUGAUGACGAGGCACUACGGUGCUGAAGCAACAAAUGCCCUGCUUCCAGGAAAAGCCUCUAAGCAUCAGGUAACAUCAAAUCGUACCCCAAACCGACACAGGUGGUCAGGUAGAGAAUACCAAGGCGCUUGAGAGAACUCGGGUGAAGGAACUAGGCAAAAUGGUGCCGUAACUUCGGGAGAAGGCACGCUGAUAUGUAGGUGAAGUCCCUCGCGGAUGGAGCUGAAAUCAGUCGAAGAUACCAGCUGGCUGCAACUGUUUAUUAAAAACACAGCACUGUGCAAACACGAAAGUGGACGUAUACGGUGUGACGCCUGCCCGGUGCCGGAAGGUUAAUUGAUGGGGUUAGCGGUAACGCGAAGCUCUUGAUCGAAGCCCCGGUAAACGGCGGCCGUAACUAUAACGGUCCUAAGGUAGCGAAAUUCCUUGUCGGGUAAGUUCCGACCUGCACGAAUGGCGUAAUGAUGGCCAGGCUGUCUCCACCCGAGACUCAGUGAAAUUGAACUCGCUGUGAAGAUGCAGUGUACCCGCGGCAAGACGGAAAGACCCCGUGAACCUUUACUAUAGCUUGACACUGAACAUUGAGCCUUGAUGUGUAGGAUAGGUGGGAGGCUUUGAAGUGUGGACGCCAGUCUGCAUGGAGCCGGCCUUGAAAUACCACCCUUUAAUGUUUGAUGUUCUAACGUUGGCCCCUGAUCGGGGUUGCGGACAGUGUCUGGUGGGUAGUUUGACUGGGGCGGUCUCCUCCUAAAGAGUAACGGAGGAGCACGAAGGUUGGCUAAUCCUGGUCGGACAUCAGGAGGUUAGUGCAAUGGCAUAAGCCAGCUUGACUGCGAGCGUGACGGCGCGAGCAGGUGCGAAAGCAGGUCAUAGUGAUCCGGUGGUUCUGAAUGGAAGGGCCAUCGCUCAACGGAUAAAAGGUACUCCGGGGAUAACAGGCUGAUACCGCCCAAGAGUUCAUAUCGACGGCGGUGUUUGGCACCUCGAUGUCGGCUCAUCACAUCCUGGGGCUGAAGUAGGUCCCAAGGGUAUGGCUGUUCGCCAUUUAAAGUGGUACGCGAGCUGGGUUUAGAACGUCGUGAGACAGUUCGGUCCCUAUCUGCCGUGGGCGCUGGAGAACUGAGGGGGGCUGCUCCUAGUACGAGAGGACCGGAGUGGACGCAUCACUGGUGUUCGGGUUGUCAUGCCAAUGGCACUGCCCGGUAGCUAAAUGCGGAAGAGAUAAGUGCUGAAAGCAUCUAAGCACGAAACUUGCCCCGAGAUGAGUUCUCCCUGACUCCUUGAGAGUCCUGAAGGAACGUUGAAGACGACGACGUUGAUAGGCCGGGUGUGUAAGCGCAGCGAUGCGUUGAGCUAACCGGUACUAAUGAACCGUGAGGCUUAACCUU
rnacentral:rRNA from 1 species